rnacentral:rRNA from 1 species
GACAGAGGGUGCAAACGUUGUUCGGAAUUACUGGGCGUAAAGCGUGUGUAGGCGGCUUUGCAAGUCGGAUGUGAAAGCCCUGGGCUCAACCCAGGAAGUGCACUCGAUACUGCAGGGCUUGAGUAUCGGAGAGGUUGGUAGAAUUCUCGGUGUAGAGGUGAAAUUCGUAGAUAUCGAGAGGAAUACCGGCGGCGAAGGCGGCCAACUGGACGAAUACUGACGCUGAGACACGAAAGCGUGGGGAGCAAACAGG